GUUCGAGCGUCAUAUAACCACUCACGCCUGACGUGGUGUUGGGGCACGUGGUUCCGCGGCCCCAAAAAAUAGUGGCGGUGCCGGUUGGCUCUAAGCGUAGUAAUACUCCUCGCUAUAGAGAUCUCGCCGGUGGCUUGCCAGAACCCCCACACUCUUUACUAGUUGACCUCGGAUCAGGUAGGGAUACCCGCUGAACUUAA
rnacentral:misc_RNA from 1 species